UCGGGGGGGGGGGGGGGGGGGGGGGGCGGAGUCUAAAAUCUAAAGCUAUAAUCAGGGGGAGGGGUUUAGUUACUGUGAGUUGAGUAAAUCAGUGCGUGUCUCUUUAAGAGCUGUGAUCUUCCGUUCCGCUGGAGGGCAGCACUGAGUGUGUGAGCGAGUGUGUGUGUGAGCGAGUGUGUGUGUGUGCGCGCGCCUCACCACAGCAUCUCUACCGUCUACCAUUUACACACACACUCAUACACACUCACACAGAACGAGCCUCGCGCACAGAGGAAUAAUGGUGUUUCCGAUAUUGUGGCCGGUCGGUUCGGGUCUGUUGUGUUUGAUCUCGCCGCCGCCGAUGCUGUCUCUGCGCGCGCGCCACGCUCUCAGCAGCGACCAGCCCUGAGUCUUCAGCCCCUGUAUCUUUAAGCCACGCCCAUUUCCUCUCUGAUUGGCUGAAUAGACUUGAUCACCUCCCACGUCUACACAACCUGGUGCUAAUCGUACACAUAUUUAUUGGUGAUCUGUAGGAACUCCAGCUAUACGUAGCCUGAUGUACGUCUACUGUACCUACUGUACCUACGUGGUUCUACCUUAAAUUGUUGGUAUGAAGUAAACAUGGCCCACUAAUCUAGAGCUUUCUGAACAUGGCCUGGAUGUGCUGUAAUUCAGCCCAGCCCAUCUGCUGCCAUGGUUACCAGCGCAUUCGUUUAUUCCAUCGUUAACGCUAAUUGAUGUUUACAACACAAUGCCUGCUCGCUUCCUGAUGAGCACAGGAACCUAAACCCUCACCUGCUGGAAGCACAGUCCACAAAAACCCAACCUGCACCAGGUUUAUGGUCACUAAUUACGGUUCCUAAUUAAGCGUACGUGGUUUUUGUCGUGGAAACCGCCUGGACUUCACGUCCUGUAAAAGCACAGAAUCAAUAAGCCCACG
rnacentral:lncRNA from 1 species